AUACGGAGGAUGCGAGCGUUAUCCGGAUUUAUUGGGUUUAAAGGGUGCGUAGGCUGUGCGUUAAGUCAGGGGUGAAAUGCCGUCGCUCAACGACGGAGCUGCCCUUGAUACUGGCGUGCUGGAGUACGGAUGCCGUUGGAGGAAUGAGUGGUGUAGCGGUGAAAUGCUUAGAUAUCACUCAGAACACCGAUUGCGAAGGCAUCUGACGAAUCCGUCACUGACGCUGGGGCACGAAAGCGUGGGGAUAGAACAGGAUUAGAUACCCUGGUAUUCCACGCCGUAAACGAUGAUGACUAACCGUCGGCGAUAGACAGCCGGUGGCCAAGCGAAAGCGAUAAGUCAUCCACCUGGGGAGUACGUCGGCAACGAUGAAACUCAAAUGAAUUGACGGGG
rnacentral:rRNA from 1 species